rnacentral:rRNA from 1 species
UACGGAGGGUCCAAGCGUUAUCCGGAAUCAUUGGGUUUAAAGGGUCCGUAGGCGGUUUUGUAAGUCAGUGGUGAAAGCCCAUCGCUCAACGGUGGAACGGCCAUUGAUACUGCAAGACUUGAAUUAUUAGGAAGUAACUAGAAUAUGUAGUGUAGCGGUGAAAUGCUUAGAGAUUACAUGGAAUACCAAUUGCGAAGGCAGGUUACUACUAAUAUAUUGACGCUGAUGGACGAAAGCGUGGGGAGCGAACAGG